rnacentral:rRNA from 1 species
AUUGAACGCUGGCGGCAUGCCUUACACAUGCAAGUCGAACGGCAGCACGGGAGCAAUCCUGGUGGCGAGUGGCGAACGGGUGAGUAAUGUAUCGGAACGUACCUUUCAGUGGGGGAUAACGUAGCGAAAGUUACGCUAAUACCGCAUAUUCUGUGAGCAGGAAAGCAGGGGACCGCAAGACCUUGCGCUGAUUGAGCGGCCGAUAUCAGAUUAGCUAGUUGGUGAGGUAAAGGCUCACCAAGGCGACGAUCUGUAGCGGGUCUGAGAGGAUGAUCCGCCACACUGGAACUGAGACACGGUCCAGACUCCUACGGGAGGCAGCAGUGGGGAAUUUUGGACAAUGGGCGCAAGCCUGAUCCAGCCAUGCCGCGUGAGUGAAGAAGGCC